rnacentral:misc_RNA from 1 species
GUGACGUCACAUAAUUAGAGUAAAUACAAAGUAGUCUUGAUGGGACAGCGGCGUGCGCCGCACCGUGAGUCGCUGGUCCGCGCGCGUCAAACCUAUAUCGCUCUGAUACACGCACACCCGCGCUCCCGCGAGCAGGGCCCCCGCGUCGUCGUAUAUCCGCGCGCGCGUUAUGUGCCGUCAGUGUGUGCGCGCACCAAGGGAUUCUAGAUGACUGUGGGAACAGUGAGGUGACACACUCGCAAAGCGUCAAAGAAAUGGAAAAGAUCGAGAUUCCGCACUCUCGCACCAUAAUUAGUUUCGUAGGUCUACAACGCUGUACGGGCCGUCGUAAACUUUAAUGAAGACGGCAAUUGACGAUUUACGAACUCGCGGAUCAUUACGUCCGACAUGACGGAGCCGCUUUGUAGCAUCGACAGCCACCAGAUGCGACUUUGAAAAAUCCCUCGUCCCGGAAAUAUGAAACUUCGGUUGCCGUCAGGAAUCAUUAAAAAAUUCCAGGAAUGACGACCGAUGCACCAGCGAGACUCCACAUAAACUUACUGGGCGGUGCUUGCUUCAGCCACGGCCCUUACACAUUUUAUAAGGCGGUGAGGAUAGGUAACAGCCGUGUCCUUCGUCUCGGCAGUUUCUUCCUGACGAAACUGUGGAGCGAUGCCGACCUCGUCAGCAUCGGCGAGCUUCAGCUACUGUGGAUGGACAGUCGUGGACCGAAUCAGCCGCUGGCGUCCUUGCGGCUGUACUUCUUACCUGAGAACACGCCGGACGGCAGGAGGGACACGCACGGAGAGGACGAGGUGCUGACGAUUUCAGAGAAGGUGGUCGUCCGCGUGCACGACCUCGCCACGUGGCUCUCGCCCACGUUGGAGUGGUCAUGGGGUCGGGAGGUGUCGUAUCCGACGACCCCGACGUCGUCCCCGGAGACCAGCCCGCUGAGAUACGAGAUGCCGCAGCCGCAGGUGCUGACGAAUCCGGGAAUCGACUUCUCGGACGUCGACAAGCAGCAGAAGGAAUACGAGAGCAACGUGAACUCGAUGAGGAGGUCCGAUUGCGGCUCCCAGACCAAAGUGGUGGUGCUCUCGUACCCCAGGUAUUGCCGGUAUCGCUCCCUCCUGCGCAGAUUGGAGGGUGCCGAGCCCUCCUGGCUGUGCUCGUCCAUCGCAGCCGCGGUAGGCGGUUUCACCGCCACACCGGGAACCAGGGUCCUCUUCUGCAGGGAUACCUUCGACUACCCUGACCUCGAGACCCACGAGCUUCUGUGCAACCAUUUAGCGCCGAAAUUGAAAGGCAGACCGCGAAGAAAGCGCAAAAAGCGCAGCGCAUCGCCAGGUGAGUCCUCGAAUGAAAGCGAGGCCUCGGUAGCAUCUACGUCGAAGAGCACGCCGGCGAUGAGCACCAGCCUGGUAAUACCUACGGUUGGCAGACCCUCGUCCGCAGUACGACGGAGUGAAAGAAAGAUCAGCGCCGAGGAGAAGAAGUUUAUCACCGACGUGCAAAGUUUUAUGAACUCCCGGGGUACGCCGGUCGGAAAGAUGCCACUGCUCGGCUACAGACAGAUCGAUCUAUUCCUGUUCUACACGAAAGUGCAAAUGCUCGGUGGUUACGACUCGGUCAGCGCCGGCCGUCUUUGGAAGACUAUCUACGACGACAUCGGUGGCAACACGAAUUCCACCAGCGCGGCUACCGUCACGCGGAAACACUAUGAAAAGUUGUUAUUACCUUACGAGAGGUAUCAACGGGGCGAGGAGACGAAAGUGAGACUGAACAACGGACGGCGUACGAAGAAUACGAGCGUGUCCGAGGAUUCAGAUGCCAAGGAGGAACCUGGUGACCCGUAUCCGUCGGAGACUCCUCCACCUGUAGAAGCGAUUUCUACAGCUACGACGCCACCUCUGCAGCCAAUAAUGUCCGCGACGGCGACGACGAUACUUUCAAGCGAAAAACCUAAAGCCGAGACCGGCAAGACGUCCUCGUUGCGCAGCGUGCGAGUAAAGCCAGAACGCCUGAAGUCAUUGAACACAAUAAUCGCCAAUAGCGCGACACCUUCCAACCAGCAAGCUAGCCAACUGCCAAGUCCACCUCCAUCCUCCAACACGUCUGUCUCGACGCCCAGCAGCACACCCUCCACGACGCCCACGAUCGGCACCGGUAACGGUAAUCAGAGCGUCUUGGAGAGGCAGCUCAAUAGCCCUUUGAUAUCCCAACAAGUUCCACCAUCGUGUUCGCCACCAGGCCUGCCCGUGACCACCGUAGCGACGAACGCGUCGACCGUCGUUACCCUAACGCCACCACCGGAGAAGGAUAUGAAGGAGAUCAAAUUGGACGCCAAACAGACCACUCUCCUCGCGCAAGGCAAGGAGAACAUACCGCUAUUUGGCGACGAGAAGCCUAUUUUCGCGGACAAAACGAUGGUACCGCCGGUCUCUAGGUCGCCUGAGGUAAUCGACCUCGAGAACGAGGGCGACACGAGCCCUCGCGACAAGAUAAUCAUUCCCAGCUUCAAGAAGCGCAAACUCGAGAUCCUGCGUGAGGGCGGUCUCGAAGUCACCGCCGUUGAUCUAGACGCACGGCCCAGCGUCAUCCAAAGCAGCAUCGGCAUGCCGUCACAGCAACAGCAACCACAGCUGCAACCAUCGCCGGCCACGAUGAAGUCCACUGAGGAGAAGCAGCCGUCAGUCUCUCCGUAUCCGCUUCCGGUGACGCCCAACUCCAUUCCGAAGCUGAUAUCCGUCACCGUGACGCCCGACAUAGGUCACAUGUUGCCGUCGCCGCACGAGCAACAAAAUUACCAAUCGCGAGUUUUGAGUGCGACGAUCAAGCAACAGCCAGCUCACCACAACAACAAUAACAAUAGUAGUAUGACAAACAACAACAUGAUGCACAAUAACAUGAUAAAUAGUCGGGUGAUAAAUCUCGGUAAUUCCAACAACGCCGCAUUGCUGCAGUUGUACGCGAACGCGAACGUUGUACCGCCGACUUCGACGGCAAUCCCGCCCGUGCAGCCCAAUAGUCGCUUCGUACCACCGAGUAUUCCGAACGGCAGAUUGCCAAAGGUGACGCAGUCGCGGUCGAUAUUCGUGCACAACGAAAGGACGGUUUACGGGAAUCCCAAAGAUAUCAUCAACUCCCCGAAAUAUCCGCGUUCGUUGUAUCCGCAUCAGCAUCAGCAUCAGCAGCAGCAGCAGCAGCAGCAGCAGCAGCAGCAACAUCGCUCGCAUCAUCCGCAGAUGGGCGGCAGUCGAGACGAUACCGCGCAAGGAGGUGUUCUCGACCUGACGCAAAAGUCUAGCGAAAAACCAACUUUCCCCAGGCCCAACCUGGAAAUAGUCCGAGUACCUGUGGUGCCAAGGCCUAAUCCGUUGAACUUGGAUAUGCGGAAUUCACCCGCUGCUAAGGACAAACCACCGGACAGACUCGCCGCCGAUUACUCGAAGAGAGUACCUUUCCCCGCGUACCAGAACGUGAUCGACAAUCGAACUAUCGCCUCGAACAAUCUCGAGAUCACGUUAGUGAAUCCCAAGCAGAAGAACAAUCACCUGAACGCACCGUCUCAUGUCCAGAUGCCAAGUCCACCUAACAGAGGUAGCGCGAUGGGGACGAUAAAUAACACGCCAAGGAGGCAGCCGCAUCAUCACAUUAAUGGAAAGUACACGACGAGGAACGAACCUGUCUCACCGUAUACACCAAGAAAGCCGAGUCAUCCCGUCAUACCGAACGUACCUAACUUAAAUCACCUGAAUCACAGUGGAAAUUCAUUCCCUAGAAUACAAUCUCACAACACGAUGCAACAACAACAGCAUCACCACCACCACCAUCACCACCACCACCACCACCAACAACAACAACAACAACAACAACAACAAAUGAGCAUCGACAGGAGAAAAGCUGUCGCGGAGGCAGGCAGGGAUCAACAACAGCGUAGGAUCAGCGAAGGCGAAAAGUCGUUGACGGCGCAACACCAGCAAGAGGCGAGGCAAAGCGAAGUCAGUCGACGGCACAGCUUACCUAGUAUACCAUCGGGCUUUGUGCCGACGGUGCCGCAGAACAAUUCCGUUGCCUUCCCGUUACCGCAGCUGCCAAACGCGCCCGGCAAGUUCCUACCGAUCCUGGAUCCCAUGUACUAUUCCGCGUUCUACAAUGGUUUGUUCCCGUCACCAAUUCCGCCCACGGCUGCCGCCGCCGCCGCCGCCGCUGCCGCGACGCCAUUUCUACCACCCGAGUUUAGCGCGUAUUACAAAGAACUACUCGCUUCCUCGCAACCAAGACUGGGGAUGACGGGGCAGCCGCCACCACCGCUACAUCAACAGCCGGCCGCCCCAACGUCUAAGUAGACAAUGGGAUCUCAACAUGUAGGGUUUCCGGCACUCUGUGUGUGUGUGUGUGUGUGUGUGUGUGUGUGUGUGUGUGUGUGUGUGUGUGUGUGUGUGUGUGUGAGUGUGAGUGAGUGAGUGAGUGAGUGAGUGAGUGUGAGUGUGUGAGAGUGUAUGUGUAUGUGAGUGUGAGGAUACUUUCGAGCACUAGAGAGGACAAGGGGAUCCGUCGGACUUGUUCGCUGUCAAUAAACGUGUAUCCACGUGCGAAUUCGCGAUUAAAAACCAAUAAAAGUGAGGGGAGUGUAUCGUGAAAUUUGAAUAUUGUGAAAAAUCUAUAUGUUCAUUUACGUAAUUUCUACGCAGUUCGCAACGGCGUAGAAAGAAUUCGCAACAUCGAUAAAAUUAUUCACAGUGUUCGUGUACGAUAGGAUAGUCUCUGUCGAAUCUCUGGCAAAGAUUGAACGAGUUGACAAAUUUAAUUAAGAAAUUUUUCAGAUGACGUAUCUUCAUACAUGAUGUAUCACGUACAUAUAAUAUGUUGGUUUCAUUCAUUUGCUCGAGAUUCUAAGGAGAACUAUCGAUAUUAAGAAAGAAGAGAUCCUGUGAUAAAAAUGCGACAGUGCAUUAACGUUAAAAGAAGGCAGAAUAUUAUUAUGAGAAAUUAUUAUUUUUAUAUGUUUAUUUUAUGUAAAUCAUUUAUGCGCGUUUUUGAGUUUCAAUUAGUGUUGAAGGACAAAAUAAUCUAUAUUCUAAUUAAUUUAGGCACCUGCGCGUUCAGUGUAAUGUUAUGAGAAUAUAAUUAUUCUACAAAAACAAUAAUUUCCUUUUUUUUCUUCGUUUAUUAUGGUUAUCAUGAUUCAAGCUCGUCGAGUUUCCUUUUUAUUUUCAUUCGACAAGGCGCAUUUUGAUUUAUUUUCAAUGCACCUUGCGAUACAUUUGACGCAAAAUAAAGAACGGUCGAAAACGGAAAGAAAAGUAACGGCGAACGGUCGGCAGACGGAUCAUCGGAACGCAUAAUUGUUUGCUGUUUAAUGGUAAAUCUUAUGUAGUACGCUCGCGAGAACCCUAUGUAUUGUAUAAGCUAGACAAUUUUCAUUAAUAAUAAAAAAGCAACACUCGUACACAAUCACAUACACACCGAUCUGUAGUCACCUUUAACGAUAAUAAGCGCACGCAUGCAAUGUUCUAGCAGCGAUAUGUAUAUAAUGUAUAUAACAACGUAAAUUCAUUAAGAUAGGUAAAUUCUACGUUAUCUUUCAACGUUUACGUAAGGGAGUUAAGUUCAGUAAAUGUACAGGCUGUCUUGCUCGCGUGGCCAACGAUUGUCGUAUCGCUGUUUCCUGAGAAGAGUUGAGAACGAUAUUUUGCAGGCCAUCUUCGACGAUGCUUUUUAUUAUUCAUUCGGGAAACGUUAAGUGGGGAACUCUUCGUUGUGCGGUAACGUGCGGAUGCGAUAGAGUUUUUUUUUCUUUAAUUCGAGUAGAGUUUAACGAAAUCCUUGUAAUUAACGAAAUUGUUACGCGAUUGCUGCCGAAUGUGAUCGAACAUCGCGGGCCACCGCAAUACUUUGGAGAAAAAUCGAUUAAAGAGGAAAAUUACCAACGGUAUAUCCAUGUUAAAUGUAGUUCUAUUGAUAGAAUUUGUUCGUUUUAGAAUACUCUGAUCAAAAGAAAGGAAAAAAAAUAAAAUAUGAGAAUAACGUUAAAGCAUUCGUAACCUUAAGACGUACAAGCAGAAACGUGAUCCACGUUCGGAUCGUUUUGGCCUCAAAGAAGAAAAUCAGAUUUCUUAUAUCGAUGUCUUUCAAGAGUGAUGAGUUGUCCGCGUUCUUUCGGACGAUUCUUACGUGGUAGACGAAUUAGGCGUUGUGACGACGAUCACGAGACCGUGGCUGAUCGACGACAGCCUUCCCACUGGAAUACCGCUGUAUAAUCAAUAAGUCGAGGAACCGAACCGAUCGCGGUUGCAGCGUGCGACCGCGACGCGACGGUCCGGGCACAGGAUGAACGCAAAAACGCGCUACUGCUGUUGUUAUUUUUGUAAGAUCGCGGCUAAUCUCCGGUAAAACUAAUCUCCGGAGCACGUCGCUUCUCAAAAUGGUGCUAUACGACGAGAAACGCUAUUGUGAGCCUUUUCGAAAAUUUUAAAACGAGACGUUUGUUGAAGUACCAGUGGAUCUCUCCCGCGCGAUCGCCCGAAAGAACUACGACCUUAAGAUUAAAUCUUCACGUCCAAGUCUGAUAACCGUAUACAAACCGAGAGGAAGCUCAGGGGACUCGACGAAGCGUGAGUUCCGGCUGUCUCGCGCAUAAUGGAAAAAACGAACAAAAAUGAAUAUACGGGUCCGUUACGGUUGCGAUUUGGUGAAAUAUCUUGCGGGGUUCGUACACGGGAAGCGAACGCGAACGAGUUAACGAGAAAAGGACGGCAAAGCGGUCGAAUCUCUGCGAAGAGAAUGGCUUUUACGGGAAUACGUGCCAUAAAAACUGAUUAGAUAGCGAUUACAAUGGAAAAUCGAAUACAAUGGCGGAUACGGUCAUUUGUAUUAUGCUUUUGACGAGCCCCUUACGGUUAGACAAACUAAGGAAGGUAGACGCGAAUCGAAGCAAGCAAAGAGGAAUAAUAAUAAAGAUACGCAAAAUUCCGCGUGGAAGAUUUUAUAUGAUUUCUUGUUUAUAUUCUGUUACCGCGGUGUUGUUUUAUAAGUCUUUGAAAGAGUCUUGUUUUUAGCGCGUGUGCGUGUGAGAGAGGUAUGUCGAUGAACGAUGAACGAAUGAGUGAAUCUUGAAGAAUAAUUUGAAGAAAAGUCGACGAUUGUUUUCGUUUUUGCGAGUCUUCUCUUUCAUUUUGUAUACUUGCUAGAGCGAUUUUAGUAUAACCCUCGUUUUCCCACUUUAAUAAUAAUAAUUAUUAUUAUUACGAUAUAAAUAUUUUUUAUUAUAUGGGCAUUUCAGUUCCUAAAUUGGAAAUAAAAUAUCUACUACAAACGCGGCCUUUUUUAAUUAUUCUACAAACAUCUCAAGUGCUCGCCACAUUGUGCAGUCGUCUGCACUGGUCGGAUUGGGCAUCUUUUUAACGUUGCUUUUAUUUUCUCCCAUUUCAAAGCUUAUAAGUCUUUGAUAAGUCUCCGAUAUAAGUCUUUAUAUUGAAAAUCUUGAUACCUACGCUUCCAUCGUGACCGCUAAAAGAGCAUGAUAUGAAUAAUGUUAUUGACAAUAUUUGAAAUUCUCUUUAAUCACUGAUCAUUUUUACCGAGAAUGCUAUUAUAACGGACUUGAAUACAUAUUAAAAAGUAAUUUGAAAAGUGAUUUUAAUGGUCGAAACAUAAUGAUAACGGCCAAUCGUUUGUGGUCAACAUAUCGCAGCAUUGAUAAUUCGACAUCAUAAAAUUAAGAUCGCACGAAGAAAGAGAUACGGCAGAAUUAAAAAACGUUGAAUUGAAACGAUCGUGCGUGAUUUUACUCACGAAAAGUGCGCGCUCUGUGUGGAUACGUCGGCUCGCCAUGGAGAGACCGCUUCUGAUUGGCCGACGUUGUUAUCGGCGCGCAACGUUCAACCGGCGAAACGCGAAGAGAACCACGAAGAAAAAGAAUGACGAAUAGAGCGCAGAGCGGCGGGCGCGCGGAAUGCACGGAGCAUGUGCCGCGAAAUUUAAAAUCCCUUUAACGACGGCUAUAAACCGGUAACCUGUUUAACCAGUCCUGCGCGACGGCGAACGCCGGACGUUUCACCUUCGCGAAAUCGUUCCUAUUCCGUUUUUUUCCGCCGUUCCGUCCAACCCCUCUCCCGUUUCCCUCUCUCGCUCUCGCGCUCCUGGAUGCAGGCGACCUCUUUGUUUCACCUCCAAUUUUGCGUAUCGCCAUCGGGAUAUUCCACACCGUGCGCUCGCGAAACCGCGCUCCGCUUGAACAUUUGAAAUUGAACGCGAAAAGUUCGAAGGGCGAAGGGAAACGCGGCUGCAGUUCCGGAUAUUUCCAACCUCCGAUUUUUAUGAAAUUCGGACAAUCUCACCCUGGGAAUUUCAUGAGAAUCGGAAAUUGGACCUUUUCGGAACUACUGCACUUCUUGUCGAAAGUCUUCAUUGUAAACGAUAACUAAAGACGGAUUGAAUCUAUCGUUUUUUACACACCUCGUGACGUUUGUCAUCUAUCGCGUAACUGGAUUCAUGGCAUUGACUCUAAUAAAGUUCCAAUUCUAUUA